AUUGAACGCUGGCGGCAUGCCUUACACAUGCAAGUCGAACGGUAACGGGCCUUCGGGUGCUGACGAGUGGCGAACGGGUGAGUAAUACAUCGGAACGUGCCCGAACGUGGGGGAUAACGAGGCGAAAGCUUUGCUAAUACCGCAUACGAUCUACGGAUGAAAGUCGGGGACCGCAAGGCCUUGCGCGGACGGAGCGGCCGAUGGCAGAUUAGGUAGUUGGUGGGAUAAAAGCUUACCAAGCCGACGAUCUGUAGCUGGUCUGAGAGGAUGAUCAGCCACACUGGGACUGAGACACGGCCCAGACUCCUACGGGAGGCAGCAGUGGGGAAGUUUGGACAAUGGUCGCAAGCCUGAUCCAGCCAUGCCGCGUGCAGGAUGAAGGCCUUCGGGUUGUAAACUGCUUUUGUACGGAACGAAAAGCCUUCUUUUAAUACAGGAGGGUCAUGACGGUACCGUAAGAAUAAGCACCGGCUAACUACGUG
rnacentral:rRNA from 1 species